UUUUUUAGUUUUAAGAUUCUUUUAAAUUUUUCUUUUCAGACUUUCUUCUUUUUAAAAAGAAGUCUUGAAGCUUACUAAUCACCUCAUCAGCUGAACUGUACAGCUUGCCAUGAUCAAGGCUAUAGGUUUUGAUAGGGCAGGGGAAGGAGAGAAAGGACAAAUACAGCAACCUGCAACAGGAAUUAAGAAGCCAAAGAUCACUCCAUAGAAUUUCUUCAUCCCACAGGAUCCAUUUCUUCAUGAGCAAUGUAAGCAUGGUCAUUCUGAAAGCCCAUCUUCUUGUCUCUUGAUGUUUUCCUUUGACUUUAAGGAGCCUAUUUCUGGUAUUUGGCGGGAUUUUAUUUGCAUACAGUAGAAGAAUUUGAAUUUCGUCCUUUUAUACAACUGGCCAAGCCCUGGGGACAGCUCUGAAUCUGCAGAGGUCUGCUGACUUCUAUUCAUAACUGGUUUCAAUCCUCUGUGUUGCUUACUGUGUGUGAGAGAGAUUAAUAUAAAUGAAGCACUGAUCAAAUGUUUUCUGAUGGCAAUAACUGACAAGGCAAUGGAUCAUGCAGAAAUUGUUCCACAAUUUUCUUGUUAGCUUUUCUUAGUAUCUUCUU
rnacentral:lncRNA from 1 species